GAUGAAGAACGCAGCGAAAUGCGAUAAGUAAUGUGAAUUGCAGAAUUCAGUGAAUCAUCGAAUCUUUGAACGCAUCUUGCGCUCCUUGGUAUUCUGAGGAGCAUGCCUGUUUGAGUGUCAUUAAAUUCUCAACCGCACUGACUUUGAAUUGGUGUGGCUUGGAUUUGGGGGGAAAAUUGUUGUGGGCUUUUUUGUAUAGUCUGCUCCCCUGAAAUUGAUUAGCGGUACCUUUGUGGAACUGUCUACAGGUGUGAUAAUUAUCUACAUCCUAGACAUCUGCUGGAAUGCUGCUUUCUAAACCUUACUUGUAUUGACAAUCUUGACCUCAAAUCAGGUAGGACUACCCGCUGGACUUAAGCAUAUCAAUAAGCGGAGGA
rnacentral:misc_RNA from 1 species